UGAGUCCUUAAAACCUCUUCAAA
rnacentral:tRNA from 1 species